rnacentral:rRNA from 1 species
UGAACGCUGGCGGCGUGCUUAACACAUGCAAGUCGUACGAGAACUCUUCUGCUUGCAGAAGAUAGUAAAGUGGCGCACGGGUGAGUAACGCGUGGGUAAUCUACCUUCGAAUCGGGGGUAACAUCGCGAAAGCGGUGCUAAUACCGGAUAAUAUCUUAUGGGCUUCGGUUCUAAAGAUCAAAGGUGGCCUCUACAUGUAAGCUACUGUUUGAAGAUGAGCCCGCGUACCAUUAGCUUGUUGGUAGGGUAAAGGCCUACCAAGGCUACGAUGGUUAGCUGGUCUGAGAGGAUGAUCAGCCACACUGGAACUGACACACGGUCCAGACUCCUACGGGAGGCAGCAGUGAGGAAUUUUGCGCAAUGGGGGAAACCCUGACGCAGCAACGCCGCGUGAGUGAUGAAGGCUUUCGGGUCGUAAAACUCUGUCAAGUGGGAAGAACCUAUACCGUAUAAAUAUUACGGUAUACUGACGGUACCACUGAAGGAAGCACCGGCUAACUCC